rnacentral:rRNA from 1 species
GACGAACGCUGGCGGCGUGCCUACUACAUGCAAGUCGAACGCAGUGGGGACGGGAGCUUAACACGUGGGUAACCUCCCAUCAGAGGGGAUAACACUUGGAAACAGGUGCUAAACCGAUACUAAUGGAUGGACCCGCGGUUCAUUAGCUAGGUGAUGUGGUAACGGAUCAACAAGGCCAAGAUUCAUAGCCGGCCUGAGCGGGCGAUCGGCAACACUGGGACUGAGCAACGUGCCAGAGUCCUACGGGAGGCAGCAGUAGGGAAUAUGCGGCAAUGGAAGCAAGUUUGACCGAGCAACGCAGCGUGAGUGAAGAAGGUUUUCGGAUCGUAAAACUCUGGUGUUAGAGAAGCGGUAUCUAACCAGAAAGCCACGGCUAACGACGUGCCAGCAGCCGCGGUAAUUC